rnacentral:rRNA from 1 species
UACGGAAGGCAGCAGUGGGGAAUAUUGCACAAUGGGCGCAAGCCUGAUGCAGCCAUGCCGCGUGUAUGAAAAAGGCCUUCGGGUUGUAAAGUACUUUCAGUCGUGAGGAAGGUGUUAAGGUUAAUAACCUUAGCAAUUGACGUUAGCGACAGAAGAAGCACCGGCUAACUCCGUGCCAGCAGCCGCGGUAAUACGGAGGGUGCGAGCGUUAAUCGGAAUUACUGGGCGUAAAGGGCACGCAGGCGGUUAAUUAAGUUGGAUGUGAAAUCCCCGGGCUUAACCUGGGAAUGGCAUUCAAGACUGGUUAGCUAGAGUCUUGUAGAGGGGGUAGAAUUCCGAUAUGUAGCGGUGAAAUGCGUAGAGAUGUGGAGGAAUACCGGUGGCGAAGGCGGCCCCUGGACAAAGACUGACGCUCAUGUGCGAAAGCGUGGGGAGCAAACAGGGAUUAGAUACC